GACAGGAGCAAAGUGCAGAUAACCAUUGACUAGAACAGGUCAUGGGCCAGCUAACAGCUAGAAUGUUUGGGGCCCAGAAAUAGCCGCUUCUCCCUGCACUCACUUGAGGAUAUCCUGGCUGAAGAGCAUCAACAGCACCUGAAAGAACACUGAACUGGGGGAGGGAUCCUGGCAGGGAAGCUUCCCUCCACUAAAGACUGCAAAAAGCAGGUGAAACUUGGAAAACAUUCUGGACUCUGCCCAGAACAUGGCAAACGGGGAUCAUGCUCGCUGGAGGGGAGGCAUCUGAGUGUUCUUGGCCCAGGCAACAGAGGGAGACCCAACAACUUUCUCCGCAGUGACAAAGGGACCAGCGCUCAGCAUCGAACCCCCCCACCCCGAAGCACCAUUCUGAGGAACAGAAUAGAAGUAAACCAACCUGCCUUCUUUGUUUCAGGUUACAGUUUAACCCCCCAAUAAAGCAGCAU